UUUAGAAAUAGAAGCCGAGCGAAUUUUUGUGAGAAAUUCAGUUCUCUGUGAACGCCACCAAUGAAAUUAGUACAGAAAAUUUUUGGUCGAUUUUCGAACCAAAAAUUAUUUUUUUUAUUAAUUUCUUAUGACGUGCUGUCCAUCGUUACAUCGACUAUUGACAAAAAGAAAAAAUUCAAUGAGUGAAAAUGCGCGGCUAAUGGAAAAUAUACGUAUAUACACGGUCGGCCAUAUUGGACUUCCAGCAGCACAAGGUCGCCAAAAAAUGUAUGAAAAAAUCGAAAAAAUACGCUGCUUAUGACGCUAUCGAUGUUUUCGAAUGAUGCAUACAACUCUACACAUUUUCUUCCAACAAGAUUAGGAGGUGAUAAAACCGGCCGGUAUUAAAGACGUUAUUUCGUUUAGUAACACCACAGAAGUAUUAUUUCGAUCCGCAGAAACUUAAGCCAUAUUAUUCACAAUUCGAAUGAUGGGAAGCGUAGCUAUUAUUAAAAUAUGUACUUACUUCUGCCGGUCGUUUUGUGGCUUUGAUUUCUUUAAUAGCAUCCUUUUCUCCGUCGCCUACAACUUCAGGAACAGCGAAUUCAUUCGUUUCUGUAC